rnacentral:tRNA from 1 species
UGGGGUAUAGCCAAGCGGUAAGGCAACAGACUUUGACUCUGUCACUCGCUGGUUCGAAUCCAGCUACUCCAACCA